UACGGAGGGUGCGAGCGUUGUCCGGAAUCACUGGGCGUAAAGGGCGCGUAGGCGGCGAGGCUAGUCAACGGUGAAAGCUUGGGGCUCAACCCCGAGUCGGCCGUCGAUACUUCCUUGCUUGAGCACUGUAGAGGCAGAUGGAAUUCCGGGUGUAGCGGUGGAAUGCGUAGAGAUCCGGAAGAACACCGGUGGCGAAGGCGGUCUGCUGGGCAGUAGCUGACGCUGAUGCGCGACAGCGUGGGGAGCAAACAGG
rnacentral:rRNA from 1 species